AUGUCUGCAGAAAAGGCCGCAAGGCUGGGGCUUGCAGUUGGCAGCCCUGGCUGUGGGUUGCCUGAAAGAUGGAUGAGACUCGGGAUGGGCAUCUCUGUGAUGUCUGAAUGUUUGAUGCUGAAUUCUGAGCGGGGAGAUAUUGCAGGUUUGCCACCAGUGCUUUGGCUAGGGAUGUGGACAGCAAAUCUAAAAAGGUUUCUCAUUCUGUGGUUUUCAAUCAGGCAUGAGUUUAUGGAAUGUUAAGUGGACAUGUGUUGCAGAGCAUUAUGUCUCUCUGGGCUAUGAAGAGGACUUUAUGUGGACUUGAGAGCUACCACUGUGCACUGUGGACCUCAGAUGUGACAGAUUUCUGGACCCUCAAGGAAAUGUAAGGAGGUGGUACCAUACUGUGUGAAACACACUGUACAACUGCCUGUGCUCUAACAGUGGUGAAUAUGGGGUGAAUAUUGUUC
rnacentral:lncRNA from 1 species